GCGGGACGCUGCUCGCCUGGUUUACCUGCCGUGCCGUUCCUAUAAGACUGCUGGCUGUCUCUGGUUUCUUCCUCUCCUUUUGUUUUUUUCGUUUUGUUUUGUUUUGUUUUUCCAUGGCGAUCGUGACGACCCGGGGCGGUUCGCAGGGAAGGGGAGGUGGGGAAGGGGAGGUGUGAGCUCGAGCGCCCGGCUCCCGCCGUCGGAAGUGCAGGGGAAAGUGAUGGCGAGUUCGCCUCCAGGUUGGCCGGCGGCAGUUUGUCCAAGACAGACGACUGGCCGUAGAGCCCGGCAGCCGGUGAAACGUGCCCGAGUAAUCUCUUUGGCAAUAUCUCUUACGAAAUAACCUGCUCAUGGUGUAUAAAACACGAUGGAAAAAUAGCACAGGUAUGACAGAUUUCUGACUGACCUGUACGUACGGUUAUUUUUACGAUGUGCCCUCAGAACUGACAACGUAUUGCAUUUCCCAAAGACAGGUUUUCAGGUUCGCUAGACGUGCGAGAGACAGGCAGGUCUCAUGUCGCAGACAUUUCGGUUAAUGUCUUGGGUAGGACAGACAAUGGGAGCCAAAAUACACAACUGGGAGGAAAACGGCAAUUGGUUGGUAUCACUAGGCGAAGGAAACAAGCGAGAGGAAGGACUAGUCAUCAUGCUUAAUCCCUUGUCAUUAUUAAAAUUAUAGUGUUGCUGGUUAGACACGCAGAUCGGAUGCGUCUGAAGGUGUCGAGGAUGAUGGAUUUAGUACAGAGGAGUAGCGUGUACUGGGUGACAUCGAGGUUUGUAGUCACAGAAAUUAGCAACUAAGUGUAGUCACAGAAAUUGCAACUUCCCCUCUGUGUGCGUGCGUGCGUGCGCGUGUGUGCAGAGCGGUUUGUUCCCUUAUGUUGCUUGCGGGAGUUCUCUCCAAGAAGGUGGGAUGAGGGAUUCCAGGGAAAAAAGCAGCACCAAGAGCCCAUUAAUUUGAUCCGUGUUAAAUAAAUGGAGAUCAGGGCGUUGGGAUUGACACUGCCAUGGGACAAAAGCAACAUUUGGGGGUUUAGCUGACAUUGGCUGAUACCAUUAACUCUUUCCUAACCAGCCUCAUCAAACCAACUCAUUAAUUCCUCCUCGCAAGAGUGAGCUGUCCUUGCUGAAAGUUUGAUUUAUAGCACCGCAUCCUCUCACCUCUUUUUUUGGGAAUGUAUGGUGACCCAGCACCACUAAUGCAAAAACCAGGAUGUACUUCCCUGGUGCGAGAAACUAGAUGGGGUUUUCAACUCGUUUUUCUCAAUAACAUGCCUUUGUUGGUUUUGUAGCAAGUCGCAGAGAUGAUGCUUAAUGCCCCGGUCUGUUAAUGAUGGAUUAAAAUGCUGAGUACAGCCUAAAAGAGACUUCUCUCUGAACGUGGAGAAUCCCCCCAGCACCAGGGGCCUUUGUGUACCAGGUUCCCUCAUUAGGCUUGCAAACCAAGAUGCUGCUGGGAUUUAAUGUUUGUGAUAAAUGAUAGGUUCUGAUGGCUUAUCGAUUUGUGCAGAAAGUGAGCUAUCUCUGGAAGAAACGAAUUUGUACAUUAUCAGAUCUUCCUAUGGGUUUGUGUGUAUCUCUGAGCACAUUUCCAGAACUUCCUCGCUCCUGACAGAGGUGCUCGACAGCCUUAAAAACUGCUCAGGCAUGUUAUGAGAAUGCCUCCCGUUAAAAUUGUUUAACCACUGUGACUAGUAAAAACUGUGGUUUUAUUAGCCACUUGUGUACUCUCAUAACCACCUGCCUUCACUCCUUUUCUUCACUCCCUCUCUCCCCCGCUCGGUCUCUCCUGUUUGUGCUCCAUCAGGUCCGUAAACACAAAAGCUCCUCUGCCGCUAUAUGGUGACUCCAAGGGAACAGGUUUCUCUUUCCAGAUGGGGGGAUGUCAGUAAGGUAUCACUUCUCUGCAGGUCGUGGCCCAUCACAAAGUUUUGUCACGGGAUGUGGCUAAUUUCUUUACAGAGAAGUGGUUUGUCAGUAGGAGAGGAAGAGUCCCCAAGCUGAAGAACUUUCUUACAUGUUUUUUUUUCCUUAUGUCGUCUUUUUUUUUUUUUUUUUUUUUUUUUAAUAAAGAGUGACAGCGGGGCUGCCUAAAGCACGUGUGCAGCGGCGGCGCUUUGGCAGCGAGGCCACCAGCUGGAAGGGUGUUGGAGAGUGACAGGGCCUACAUGAGGGCACUGCAGCAGCAGUGGUGGCUGCGGGAGGGCGGGCAAGGGCAGCCUCCCCGCAGGGCGAACUUCGGGGGUGCCUCCGGCCUGCGCUUGCAGGAAAGCACCAGCUCGACGUGGGUGAUCCCCCAUCACCUUGGUAGGCACGAUCCCAAGGAAGCGCGACGAGGAUCGAGGGGCUCACGUUCCACUACACGCUUGUAAGAUUUGCGGAUUGUGCUCAACAGUGGCUGCAAGUUGCGGAGAUGAUUGAAGGCAGGGGGCGGAACUGUGUUUAAAAAUGAAAUAAACGAAAAAUGAGAAUAAUAACAAUAAACAGUAAACUGGCUGAUCCCACGGAAACCAUUUCUCUCUGUUUCCUUUAAAUCUCUUCUUCUGCUGGUGCAAUGAAUGCAUAGGAUAUAACUCUCAAGGUUAGUACACGGAGUUGAAGACAGAUUCACAUGAAUGCUUUCCAGUCCCUGACCCUUGCAUUUUUAAUGGACUGCUACCCUCCCAGCAUUUUUUUUUAAACACUUGCAUUAUUUUUUCCUAUUUUUCUUGUACUGUUUUCACCUCAAAAGUGUCCCAACGCUCUAGUAUUUUUCAUAGAAUGUUAUUAUUACUAGGAAAUUUUAUGUAUGGUAAUAAUAAAUCUAUAAAAAUAAGAUUGACGUCAUGUUGCACGCUGCCUACUUGUGUAUGUAUAUUCUGUGUUCAUUCAGAUUUACAGUCGGUUUAAAGAGACAUAAUCUUUAUUUACCCAUAGAGACUACUUAUUUUCCUCUGAUUGGUAUACGCGUCUGUAACUUCUGCUGCAGGUUAUGAAGAUUAGGAGCCUGACGUUGCUUUACAUCCCCCUUUCUUUGAAGUAAACCAUCCCGAUUCAGCGUAUGAGUCUCGGUUGCCCUGCUCCUCGUUUUCAUUAGCGUGGCAGCAAAGUCAGGCAGAGGGUUGGCAGGGUCUGAAGGGUUCGGCCCAAAUGUGAAAUACCUGCUGUUUGGGCUUACUGUCGUCAUAGCUGGUGCCACUUGUUUUAUUCCUAACAGCCGCGCUAAUUGAUAUGUGCACUGUUAAAGUAAACGUUUGCAUACUGACCUGAAAUAGUAAAUACCAGCAUCCAAAACCGAGGCACCUCGCUGAGUUGCAUUUCAAGCCAGCAGGAGUUUGAGAUGGCCUUCGCCGGGGAUAGGGUUGCGAUGAUUGAUUUCAGCAGGAACAGCAUCUGAUCCUGAAAAUCUUAACACCAUAUGGCAUUGCCACGGGGGAGGGAGGCUGUGCUGGCAACCUCCGAACUUGCACUUCGUGUUGUGGUAGCGCGUGUGAGCACUGUUAAGGGAAGACUGCUGAGCUCUGUGGAUAGGGGUCAAUUAGUAUGGGCCUCAGAGGAAGCAAUUUCCCUGCCGUCUAUCUCGCUUUAAAUUACAUGCAUAAGUUAAGCGACGGCACGAUGGAAUUGAGUAGUGUGAGGGGGAACUGAAAAGCUUGAUAAGGAGCAGGCAGCAAACAUGAGCCAAGGGGCUCACUGGAAGGUGGAAAGAAAGACCACCUUGUAGUCUGCAUUGCCAUGUUGCUGUAUGGCAGUGUUUUCCACCUCCCUGUCGCUGCCUCGUAGCCCUCGAUCUGGCUGAGGCUCCCCAUGUGUUAAAAACCGUGCAAGAGGGAUAAAAAAUCAGCCCCUGUCCCUAGGUGUUUACAGCUGGAGCAAGAACCGCAGUCUGUCCCAAGCACAAUUCAUGUUGGCUGGUGGCUGUAAAGCCUUGAGGGGCCUUGAUUGCUGUUUUUUUCCUCUUUCCUCCUUGUGCAUGCCUGUUGUGCUCUGUCAGGGUGUUCUUGUUUUUCUGUUCCCAAGCCCGAGCCUGCAGGGAGUGUGUCGGGCGCUGGAGCUGACAGCUGGCACCACAGGAGGGCCUUCGCCAGGUGGCCGCAGCGUUCUCGCUCGGGUCUUCCAACGUGGCACAUGAUCCUGUGGUGACCGUGUUGGCAGGGCCAGAUUUAAUCUUUGUGGAGCGUUUUGCAAUGUUUUUUUGUCACUUUUGUCCAGAUUUUAUGUGUCUGGGAUAAACAUACGUUCAGCAAUGAAUUUUUCUUUUGACCUCUGGAGGUUCUCGGGGACAACACCGGUUCUCCUACUGCCACCUCCCGCAGAGACCAGAGCAGCUGCAGGCGUCCUUGCUCACCAGCGCCACUCGGAGAUCUCAUUGAAGCUAUUUGACCUUCUGCAUUAGGGUCACAGCUUGCAAGGCGGGAAUGCAAUGUGGUCGGUGGGAGACAUGGGGUUGAAGAAGAUGUUGAGAGCCCAACGGAGUCGAGCUUUUGGUCUCCUUACUGUUCUGGCAAAUUACUGAGCGCAAGGUGUAGCCUCUGAAAUGGAACUGGAUGUCAUCUCUUUUACUGUUUCAUGUGUUGUUUUUUCCCUUUCCUCACAUGAUACUUAUCAAAGAAAGCACCCAAACCCCAUGAUAUUAGUGCUCAAUUUAGCAUUUACAUUAUAUAAACUGCUGUUUGAUACAGUGUAGUUUAUUAAAGGGGGGCAAAAAUGAAGUUUCUCCUGCCCAAGGAAAUCUCUUAGCGGUGGGAUUUGGUACUGAACAGAAUUUCAAGGAAUUCAGCAAAAUUGAAGGCCAGUCAAGGGCUUAACAGCCUCUUUCAUACAAACACUGCUUUCUACUUAGAUUGGAAAUUGCUUGCUUUAAAUCAUUGAACUAUGAUUGUUUGCCAGUGAAAUUGUCCGUAUGGUAAGAGAGGUUAACUGGUUCUGGUGGUUUCGCAUUUUGAUUGCACUGAAUAGUUCUUUGCACAUUUUUCUAAGUAUUAAUAUAGGUUAUACAGUUGGAGCAUCAGGAUUCUCCGCCGCACUUUGGAUUUCAGUGUCAUCACUGAUCAUUUAGUCUGGUUUUUUAAGCCGACAUAACAAAAUGUCUGUGUAUUGUUUAGGCUGGACAAGUUGCACGUGGUGUGCAAAAGAUGACGAAUGAAGUCAGCUUUUUUUUUAGAGCAGUAAUUAUCAUAAUAAGUACUUUUUUCCUUUUCCUUCCAAAUUGUCUGUGUCACUUUGGACCACAUAUUUCAGUUAGAGGUGCAUAGAACCAUCGUGACUUGGACUCCAAGGCCAGCUACAGCACUUUUGGAAAAUCUUGCCAAUUCUGUUUGUACAAAAUGUUGUGGGCUAUACACAUCAUGCAUUAUUCAUAUAGGGAGACUUGUUUGACCUGGUAAAUACGUCAUGUCAUAUGCUGCUAAUUCAGGGUGGGUAACAGUAAGUAAGAGUCGUGGGUUUUGUCUGCCUGGUCAUGUAUGUUCAUAUUACAUUUUUGUGGAGCCACUUUCCACACAAUUCUGUUUGGUAGGUGGACACCUAACACCUUUACUGAAGUCAGGGAAGACCUUGAUCGCUUGGAGAAUGAAUUAGGAUGUCAUAAAGUGAUCCCUUUUGAAGAGCAACAUCGUGGUACUGUGGUUUGGUUUUAAAAGAAAUGUGGUCUAGGAAGUUAGAUAUUCUGUAUAGUGUGUCUUGCAUUGAUGCAUAGCAAUGGCUGAGAACAGGUCCUUUCCAAAUAUCCUAAAAAUUUGUAUCUGUAAAAAGAAAACUAGUAGUCUUCCAACUCUUAACAUGCAUGUAUUUUAAGGGUUAGGCUUGGUGAAAUAUUUCUAAGCAGGCAAACCUGGAACGUACACCUUAAAGUCUCAUCAAAUACAGCAUAAUCCUUUCAAUCUCUGGUUGCAAUGGGAGGCAGCUGCUGAUGGUGUAGGGAAAGGCUUUAAGAUAAGCUUUUUGGAUGUACUCAAGUGCAUUAGGAGCAAUAAGAAAGUAACUUGUGUCACUGUAAGAAAGUCCCUGGGACUUGGCCUUGGUUGCUAACAAUUACUGAGUCACUGGCUAUGUGCUUAAAAAUUGCCAGCAGGUACUGUGUCUUCUGAGGAGUACCACCAUCCGAAGAAAGUGUUUCCCUCCUUCUGUAGCAUCUGUAUUUUUUGACAACUCAUCUACUUUGGAUAAUCAUGCUGAACCAGAAAGUCUUGAAGCAUGUAGUUUUGUUUGAGACUUUUUUGCUAUUUGGGAGCCCAGCCUGAUGUGUGUGUCUUCUCUUUUCUUUUGGGUACCUUUAUUGUUUUCCACAGUCGUAUCUUGUUCAGUCACAUGCAAACACCUGUCCUGAAAUUGAAUUACUCUGCGACGUAAUGUAAAAUCAUCCCCCAUUUCAGCAUCCUGCACUUUCUCUCGUGUGUCGAGUUAUGUUGCACCAUACUUCAGAUGCGACAGCCAUUUAAUAAUGUUGAAGCCUUAGCUCUGAAGGGGCUAAAAUGAUCCCAGCAGGCUUGUUAACUUCUGCUCUCAGACAUUAUGGGAAAUAUUUUCUCCUCCCUGGAACUCCUAGGCAUCCUCUUAAUUAAGACUAUAAAAAUCCCUAGCCAGGUAUGCAUGAAGCCUGUUGAAUUUUCUUUGUGGUGUUUCCAGAGUUCCUUCCUAUUUAAUCAGACACUCCAGUGCCAAGUGAGAUAUGGGAAGGUAAAAGGAAUAAAGGCGUCCUGGAUCAUGCUGGAUAGUGCACUCUUGGCGGGCAGCAAGUUCAUCAAAUGCCUUUCCCUUACUCACCAUAGGGUUUUGUUCUUUUCCCUGCUCUACCCAGUAUUUUCUUUUAUCUCAGUCUCUGAAGUGUUGGACAUUUUAAAACUUUGCACCUUUCCUGUCUCAGGACAGUGUUCCUUUCAAUUCCAGACUGCUGUGGCUGAUGUGUCUGUUGUAUUUCUAUGUAGGAACACCGUUAACUGGUAUCAGACUUCAGUUGACUAGGAGUUAUUUGUACAGCUGUUAGGAAGCAGAGAAGCAGUAUUAGAAUUUGGGUGGAGGGAGGAAUGUAACAUUAACACUAGAAAAUUAUGGGAAAUCCUAGAGAGUUCAGGAUGGAUAUCACUUAAGGUGAGGACAGAGGAAGAGGAAAGAGGAGCUGCAGAGCACUCAGAGAAGGACACAAAAGUGGUGGAGGGUUGGUUAUAACGUGCAAAGCCUUGGUGAGAGGGUGCCUGCUCCUCCGUAGGAGUCAGUUACCAUGGGGCAGACCAACCGAGCACUGGACGUGAUUUGCUGAAAGCAGGGGUACAGCAGUAGUGCUGAAAAUGGUGGUGAGGUCUCCCCUGGUCCAAAGAGCAUGGAAUAUAUCUGCUGCUGUGAGCAAGAGAUUUGCUAUUAGUAAUUCAGGUAAGGCACUUGAAGAGCUCACCAGUAACCAUCAUCCUAGCACUUCUCUGGGGGAAGGCCAAGACCCGAUACAGCAGAAGGGGACCUUGAUGAGGGUGAGCAAGGCUUUUGACAUGCUCUUGUUGAUAGGGAAAUCUAGUUUCUUUAAUUCAUUUUUUAAAUUGACUAGAAUUUAUGGAGAAAAUAUGGGUACCGGGGUGAGCACAUGGUAUGGGAGAAGUCACAUGAUCCGAACAAGUUGUCUGAGAGCUAAGGAAAUGAUAAAGGAGUAUGUACAAACAGAUUGACAAAUGUGAAAGAGGGAGGGGAUUCUGGCAAAUGACAGGCUGAAAAUGAUGAUUUUUGCACAAGGACUGCUUGGACUUAGAGGUUUCUCUGUGGUGUGUAUUCUGUGUCCUAGGGAAGCUAGAACAUGCUGACAGCACAUCAGUCUGCACUGUGUUAACACAAGGAAUUUGCUCCAUCAUCACAAAAUAAAUACCCUAAACCGACUGCGGUUCAGUAACAUCCAUCCUUCUACACAUCCUAACUGCUGGGUGGGGAUGAAGAGGUGGUGCACUGACCUUGGAAGAGAGCUGAAGAGCUCUAGCCAUCUGUGUAGAAGGUACUAGGAGGACAGAGCGUGAUUAUCGUGGUGCAGUUAAAGAGGCCAGAAAUGGGAAAGGAGAGGCAGGGAGUAGAUGUUGUCAAAUAUGUGAUCUCCAAAGUGAGUCAUGUCAGUCAAAGGCCAUUGGUUUUAGAGUGAGCAGAAGAGGAGAAAAUUUAUUUUGAAGGGUUGUGGGUUUGAAUAGAAUACCCACCAGGGUGUGGGUGGGAGAAGACUCGAUGGCACAAGCUUAGUAAUGAUGUAAAACCCAUUCCCUCUAAAUCAUCAGUUCAUCUAGGCUCUGGGAGGCAAAGAUCACAGUUGGCUGCUUGCUUGGAAGCUGAUGUAAAAUAAAUUGGAGGUCAAAGUCCAGUGGAGGUGGCAGUGUCAUGAAAAUAAUCACUGAGAUGGGUCUUAAUUAUCAUCCUUGAAAAUUUCAGAAGACAUACUCAGGAAUGAACGGGGUUCAGAGCCAUUUACAAUCUUUUAAUGUUUUCCCCUCCGGUUAGGAAUUGUGGUGACCUGCUGUAUAAGAGUUUGCAUUGCUGCUCCCCUCCCUGCAUCUAAUUGGACGAUACGUGGUGCUCACUGGCUGGGAGAGAGCCAAGCUCACACCUGUGAUGAGUCUUAGGCACCAGCUGAACAUACUCCCUUAACCCAGGUAACUGACUGAGUACUGCAUUUGAGUGAUUUUUUUUUUUUCCAAGUUUUGCAGAAAAAGAAACAAGCAAGCAGAGGCCAAGCAUUUAACGGAUAUAUUUUUCACUGGCUCUUUUAUCAACGGUGUAUGAAAAAUCCCAAAGGACAGAAGCAGUUAGCUAACCAAUGAGGCAUCAUAGCUGAUUUUAGGUUCCAUGCAGGAGAAAAAGAUGCUGAAGCACCAGCAGCUCUAAGGGAAAAGGAUUUAAAUUUAGGUUUGGUCCUGAGAAACAAGCCUCCCUUCGGCUUGGAGAGCAGUCCAUAGGAGAUUGCUGUACCCCAGAGCAGCAGUUUGGAGGCUGAUAGAGAUGUCAGCCUGUGAGUGCAAAGACUUGUACCACUAGAUGAUGAACCAGCAGGGAUUUCUCAUUAAUGGAAUGAAUGUUAACAAGAAUAAUUUGGUUUUGUGAGCUUGUGUGUGUGGGAAGGAUAAAUGAUAGGGACUGAUGGAUGGUCUUCACAGGGAUUUGAUUAGGGAGGUGAAUGGCAGUGUGUGUGUGAGAGAGGGGGAGAUGUAUGCACGUGGUGCAUCCAUUGCAGAAGGCAGGCACGCUUCUAGUUGAUAAUGUUUGACAGAGGAGAGUCAGCAGAAGUCACCAGGCGGGUCCUAGGUGAAAGCAGAAGCUGAGCAGCGGGGUGGAUAUUUCAUUUUUAGUGUCUUUUGCAUUGUAGGGUCUUGGUUUUUAUGCUGUGUGGUGGUAACAAACCUGUAUCCAAGAAUUUCUCUAUAAAACUUUUCUCAGUAAAAAAGGUUUCUGCUUUAUGCUAAUAAAAUGUUUGGCUAUUUGAUACUAAUUCCCACAGUCAGUAUGGGAGCACUGAGUGACAGCUUUUCUGACCUGCUUAGCAUCAGUCUUGGCUCUAAAGUAACACUGUGUUAGAGCUUGUACAAUCCCUUCCCCAUCCCUGAAAAAGCAGGAGACAGGCCAGACCUACUGGUUGAGGCACCGGGCAGGCAGAACCAACAGAAACAAUCCCUCAUCCUGCCUGAGGCCUUCAAAUGCCGCCAGAAUGCAAAUAAUAAAUAAAAAAAACCCCAAAUAGUCACAUACACUGAAUAUGCACUCUAGUGGGUUUAGCAGCUCCAUCCUCAGGUACAGGAACAGCUGCAAAAAACGACGGAACUGCAAGAACUGCUCGAGAGGGAUAUAGAUACAGGGGAAGAAACGUGAAUCCCUUUGGCAGUGAGAUAUGAGAGACCCCUAACCUGAAAACCCAAACCUCUGAUGUCUUUGCUUCUGCCUUUGCCAGAAAGCCUUUAGGAGCCCCCGUCUGAGGCCAGAGCGCAGCCAGCUGGAACACGGCUGCAGGGUAGCAGAUGGCAGGAGGAGUUCCCGACCCCGGGUUGUCCAGUGCUGCCAGCCUCACGCGCGGGGUGCCAGGCACGGGGAAGCCGGCGGCCAAGCUGGCUGCUCCCCUCGGGAGCCAGUGGGACAGCAGAGGUGGAGACUUGGCUCUGUCCCUCGGCUUGCUGGCCAAAAGAGCUGCGCUGGCACAAGGGAGGGAGUGUGCUGGAAGGUGACUGCAGCCAAUUACUCCCAGCCGGGCAGGGAAGGGAGAGAGGAGAUGUGCUCCUUUCCAGGGCUCUCUGCAUCCUGGGGCGAUGCUUGUGCCUGCCAGCCUGCCUGGGUGCAAGCAAUGUGUAGCGGCUCAAGCUGCCCCUGGGGAUUUCAAGGCUGCUGGUGGAGCGUGUGAGCCACACCGCUGAAAGCUAGUGUGGCUGCUCUUAACUGUAGGUGCUCACUGGCAUGGAGGGGGGCUCUGUCACUAACAGUUCCUGGGACUGAGCUGUUUUUCUUCGACAGCGUUAGUCUGGAUUCCUUAUGAUUUCUGAUCUGUAUUUGCCAUCUGUUUUCCCCAAUGGUGUUAUGCAUUUUUUUCAGAUCAAAAAAGUGAAAUUGUUUACCCAUUCCCCAAAUUUAAUCUCAUAUAUAAACUGGGAAAAAAAAAAAAUUAUAAAAUGGUGUGUACUGAAUGUAAAGGAGGGACACAUUUGCUUGUUCUUUCUCCUAUGGAGAAACACAUUACUCCUCAGACUAAUCCUAUUGAUUGAGUUGGGGAACUGCUGCCUGCAGUCAGUCAAGUCCGAGUGACAGGAUCUGGCCCUACAGUGGCAGGUUUCCAUGACUGUGGCACAAAUAGUUUAUUCCCCAGGUAGCUCCACUGAAAUCUCCUGAGGUUACCAGUGAGUGAGCUAUUCAACAGGAUCUGGGUUUUCAAAGCAUGACCCCAACUUAGGAGUACAUUAAAAAAAUUUCUAUUUGCAGUGUCCCAUGGUGAAGAUUUACUUUUCAGUUGGUGGAGCUGGCGGCAGUGAAAGUCAAAUGAGUUUCCUAAUCUGGUAUGUUCUAAAUCUGGUUUGUCUCAAAUACGGCCUGAGAGAUAUGCAGCGCAAGUGGAAAAAUAACUGCCAGCAUGCAGAUGCAUGUCCUCUUGGAGCAAAUAAAGCUGACUUUUAAAAUAAAUGUUCAAUCUCAUCCUUGGUAUGAAGGGAGACAGGCCUGUAGCUCAGGUAUGGGGAGAGAUAUUUUAAGGUGGGCUAUGGAAGCAAACUCACCACCAAGCUUCUGACCUGGCAUACGUGUCCCUUUUUAUCUGCUAAGUCCAAUAAUAAGCUUGUUAUUAGAGGACAUCUGUUACCGCCUGAUAACACGUACAGUGAGCAGGAGCGCAGCGUCGGUGGGCAGCCAGGGAUUUUGGCAGCUGUGGGGAGCAGCAGCUUCGUGGACUGUUUCACACCUCGUCCAGAGCUGGCGUGUCCCUCCUGUGGGUCUGCGGCUGGGUGGGAGGACGCCAGGAGUUUGAGGCGCGGGCUGUUCCCACAUGGAGCUCUCCGGUGCCAGCUGGCAUGCACGUGUGCCGAAGCCACCUGCGACGUGUGCGGGAGCCACAGCCGGCCCACUCGGUGCCGAUGCGGUGGGACUCUCAUCGUAUCUCUGGGACAGGGAGCGGAGUGGCUGGGAGAAACGUGCCCUGCACUGGGCUCUGCCUUUUUCUUCCUUCCGUAUUUCCAGGAGAUGUCAUUCACACACCAGAUUCUUGCCCCCAAGCCUCCUUUCCUGAAGAGAAACAUUCAGGGAGACUCUGUAUGAGCUGAAUCUGAUCAUCAGGAGGUUUUCCCCAAAGUCAUUGCUGUAGGUAAUGUAUAUUUAUGAGCGGAACAAAGUGGGCCAUAGAUACUUUCAAAGGCUGCUUUCCUCUCAGGGUGGCUCAGUUAUUUAGGCAAGUAAGGAGGGGAGAUGCUGUCCAGACCACAUUCACUGGUAGCAGAGCAGGCUGGCGCGGGAGAGGUGACAGGCAUCCUUCACCUGCCAGCCGGCGGGCUGCCUCUGCCAGGCAGGGAGGGCUCCUGCCUGCCGGUCAGGAGAUGGUGUUGCGCCGUGGGUCAGGAGAUGGUGUUGCUUUGCAGAUCAGGAGAUGAUGUUGCUCCGUGGGUCAGGCGAUGUCGUUGCUCUGCAGGUCAGGAGAUGGUGUUGCUCUGCAGGUCAGGAGAUUGCGUUGCUCCUUUGGGUGCUGACACGUCUCAGUGAGACGCACAGCCCCGUUCCAUCCAGAACACCUGUUCCCAGCGCUGAAGCAUUCCGAUGGUUCUUUUAAGCAGUAGUGUAUCUUAUUUUCAAGGCAGUCCGAAGUGAAUGGCAAGCUAAAGUCUUGUUUUAAGAAACUGCUUAGUCCACCAUUGAAGAAUAUACUCAGAUACUAUUUUCAUUUAUGUAUAGGGGUUUCCUCAAAAGCAAAAGACAAAAAUCUGGGAGCCUGGGGAAUUGGCCAGCUUCUUCACACUCAGUACACUGAUUCUUUCUUUGAUGUAACUUAGCUAUACUAGUGAAGUUGUUGUCUAUUUUUAAAGUGGCUGUAAAAAAAAAAAAAGUUUGGGUAAACCCCUGCUAUAAAGUCAUGUAUCUUUGAAAAGUAACAUAUCUAUACUUCAUUUUCAAAUAUAUGUGUUUCAGUACUGUAAACUGUACAGAUAGCCGCUUGUAUUUUGUGUGUUUAGACACAAGGAGACAAUCAUGUCUGAGCAUCUAUGGAGAUUAACGGUUUGUACUCAACAGUGUGGUUCUGCGAGUUAAAUCCGGAGCAAUAAAUUCUAGCUUUAACUAUUAUUUUGCUAGUUGUUUAGCAGCAACAACAACAGCAGCACUGUUUUACCAUGCAUCCUUCCAUAGAGACUUGAUGCCAAGUUUUCCAAGAUGAAAAGAUUGUGAUGCAUCUAGCAAUUACCUUCCAUUGUGGUGGUAUAAGAGGGGAAGACAUAACAUUUAAAAUUAAUCUUUCAAGCACUAUAUUAGAGUAGUGGUUUGUGCACUUGCAUUGCUUCCAAAGGAGCUUUACAGAGGGGUAUCUCUCCAAAAAUGCUGUCUGGUGUCUGACUUGCUUUUCACUGUGCUCUGAGGUGGAGUGCCCAGCAUAGGCAGAUGUGCGAAAAACAGUUGUCUAUAUCAAGGUUAUUCUAGGAUGCAAAACAAAGUGAGGAUGAGACCUUAGAAAAAAUGAUGACUCAGCCUAAUUACCCUUCACUUAUGAGUUCUUAUGUAAUGUUUUCAGUCAAUGGAGUAAAUAAAGUGGAAUGCCAUAUUUUUGGUCCAAGUGGAGCUCUUCACAGUUAAGUGAGUUUUGACAGUUGGACUGGUUUGGAUCUCACUUGCACUUGUGUUCAUUUGAGAGUCUGGAUAUUUGCGGUAUAAAAAUGAACUUUUUUAAAAAAAUGUUUAAGAGAGAGACCACUUCUCCCCACACGUUUCUUGGUCCACUGAUCUCGGCUUUGCUGAACAGCUGGUCCCUUAGGCCCCCAGAAGAAUGCUCCGCCGUUCUUCUUCCUGCCCUAGCUGCACAGAGGAAAUGUCUACUCCUCGAAAAGGCAGCGCAUGGAGGGAUGUAACUCACAUGGAAAAAAUACGGAGGAUACUGGACUUAGGGAUACUUAUUAUCAGUUGAUCAUAAUUUUUUAUUGCUUGGGUUUGUCACAUUGCGGCCAUCUCAUCAAAGUAAGCAAUGCUGUUGUGCAAUGUAUUUGAUAGAUUUAUCAUUUUAUACAAGAUAGGACUGCCAGUAUUUUCACAGGCAAGGUGCUGCACCUGGAAAUAACCAGUUAACGAUGCACAGCAUGUUCAAAUCUCCUAUUGUUUCAGCACUUUCUCUGUUUUUCGCUAAGUCUGUCAGCCUUUGGCCUCUGGUCACACUCACUUGGUGAAGCACACGGGAUGGUUGGGAGCGCCGCUGUGUGGAACCUGUGCAGGUUUGGGAGAAGCUGUCUUUGGCAGGGGAGGGAACUCUCAGGAGUGGUGGCUAUGGGAAUGGCCCAGAAAGCGAAGAUGGAGGGGUGGCAGAGGAGAAAGAAGCCUCCUGGGGUCACAUGUGUGUGUCAGCAGGGCCAGGCCGAGCGUGGGUGACUGGGUGUAACUGGAGGAGCGUGGGAGGGCUGGGCUUGCACCGCGUCCUCAACUUAGGGUUGAUGCACGUCUCUACGUUUUUGCGUUGUAUGACAUCACAUACGGCUUCAGAGAUUGAAUGUCACACUUAAAAUGCUUCUGUCAUGCUGCCCCUCUUACAGUUUGUAAGAGAUCCUCAGUUGAAUACUCAUCCAAUACCCAUGCAGUCAAUGAGCUUUACAUCUGUUUGUAUGGCAACCGUGUAUGGAUUUUUUUUGUGUUGGGGACUUUUGGGUUAGGGCCUCUGUUACUGACCACGAGACCAAUAUAAGCUCUGUAAGGUUUUUGCUACCAAAAUGCUGAUUGAUUUACAAACUGAAGCCUUAUUUGCACAUCUGGCUGGUAAGCUUGCCUUGGUUUUUGGAAAAUUGUGAUUGCUCUUACAGAAGAGAGACAAAAUUAAGUUCAGGCUACAUUAGGUGUACAAAGAUAUUCAUAGCGAUGUACUUACUGUCUAAUACCCUAAUGUUGCAUGUCUUGAUGUGGUUUCUUUUUUUGUUUUGUCAUUUUGUUUUAAAGAACUGAUGGAUCUGUAUAUUGUAAUUGUGGUGUUUUACAUGUCAAUCAAAAUUGUUAUAACAAACAAACAAACAAGCAAACCUGUUAAUUAUUGAAAAUGAAUAAGAGUUGAUUUUUCUUUGAUUUACCCAUCUGGUUUUUAUUUUGGAUGUUGUUCCUUUGCACCAUCAGAUUUUUAGAUUUUGCUGAAACUAUUUAUAUGAUGUAGUGCACAUAGAACAUUUUAAUUAGUGAUGUUUGAAGAAGGAAAUCCCUUUUCUGGCCUGUCUCUCUCCACCCUAGCCCUACCCCCUCCCCAUUUAUACACAUAUUUGCCAAUCGGAUUAUUGUCAAGUUCUAAUUACUAAAUUUGUAAAUGGACCUUUUCACAAGGUCCAAACCCAUUUUCCAGUAUGAGAAUUUGUAGUCCUUUAUGUCUUUCAUUCUCACAAUGAAAAAAAAAAAAGAAAAAAAAAAAAAAG